rnacentral:rRNA from 1 species
UACGUAGGGUGCAAGCGUUAAUCGGAAUUACUGGGCGUAAAGCGUGCGCAGGCGGUUGUGCAAGACAGAUGUGAAAUCCCCGGGCUCAACCUGGGAACUGCAUUUGUGACUGCACGGCUGGAGUGCGGCAGAGGGGGAUGGAAUUCCGCGUGUAGCAGUGAAAUGCGUAGAUAUGCGGAGGAACACCGAUGGCGAAGGCAAUCCCCUGGGCCUGCACUGACGCUCAUGCACGAAAGCGUGGGGAGCGAAACAGG